GGGGCGGUAGCUCAAUUGGCAGAGCGGUGGAUUGAAAAUCCACAUGUUGCUGGUUCGAUUCUAGCCUGCCCCACCA
rnacentral:tRNA from 1 species